UGGAGAAUGCUGAUAGAUUGGUUGGCUGUUAAAGUAAUCAGCUCCAGGCACACGUCCGAAUUGCAGAUCCCAUCGACUGGAUAGCGGACGAUAUUUAGAGAUCCCUCUGGAGAAACCACCACUCUUUCUUCUUAAUGAUGCAAGAUAAUCUUCUCUUGAGACAUUUUGCAUCUCUUCAAGGUCCCUUGUGUAAUCUGUCACUGGGAAAUUAAUGAGGGUUCCA
rnacentral:misc_RNA from 1 species